AUGCUCUGGUUUCUCUUCAGAUCGUAUAAAUCUUUCGCCUUUUACUAAAGAUUUCCGUGGAGAAAUACUAUUCAAGGGUACUUCAAAAAGUUCAUGGAAAGAUUCAUUUCAUCUUUU